UACGUAGGGUGCAAGCGUUGUCCGGAAUUAUUGGGCGUAAAGAGCUCGUAGGCGGUCUGUCGCGUCUGCUGUGAAAACUCAGGGCUUAACCCUGAGCUUGCAGUGGGUACGGGCAGACUAGAGUGCGGUAGGGGAGACUGGAAUUCCUGGUGUAGCGGUGAAAUGCGCAGAUAUCAGGAGGAACACCGGUGGCGAAGGCGGGGUCUCUGGGCCGUAACUGACGCUGGAGGAGCGAAAGCGUGGGGAGCGAAC
rnacentral:rRNA from 1 species